AGGACUCAGCAGAAAAGGUUCAGUCACUGAUGGCCACCAUUUCAGUGUGCACACAAACAGCAAGCUAUACGAAUGGAUUCACAGAGGAGGGGUCCAAGGGCCUCAUCAGUCUACUUAAGAGAAGACUGCAAGACCUCAGACUCAGACAGCAGACUGUAGCAUGCACAUACCGAGGCCAACUCCUAGGCUGGUGGAAGAGGAGGAAGGGGAAAUGGAUGAAGAAUUGGAUUGGCUAUGUGACAUCAGCUAUGAUGAUUAUGAUGAUGAUGAUGCAGAGUUGGGGACUCGAAUCAGACUCAGGUCACAGUUGUAAUCACUUUUGCUUUGACUUGUACUUUGAUGAUUUGAAAAGGUUUCUAAAGUCUUGACAAAAGUCUUGACUGUCAUUUUGUAAAUUAGUUCAAUUGCUACAUAUGUUCUCAUAUUCUACUCUCUUUUAUGUUACUGGAAUUGUGAUAGUCAUGGUUAUGUAUGCAACUGAUAAUGUCUGUAAAUACUUGCUGAUAACUGUAUAUAUGUAAACAGAAAUACAAAUGUGAUUUGUCAUCUGAC